ACAUACGGCCAUAGUCAAAGUAAUUUACCGGGUCUCGUUCGCUCCCCACACGUCAACACUUUGUGCGGCAUAUUAGUAGUCAGGUGGGUGACCACUGGCGAAUCCAUGCUGUCGUAUGUU
rnacentral:rRNA from 1 species